GACGAACGCUGGCGGCGUGCUUAACACAUGCAAGUCGAACGGAAAGGCCCUGCUUUUGUGGGGUGCUCGAGUGGCGAAUGGGUGAGUAACACGUGAGUAACCUGCCCUUGACUUUGGGAUAACUUCAGGAAACUGGGGCUAAUACCUGAUAGGAGCUCCUGCUGCAUGGUGGGGGUUGGAAAGUUUCGGCGGUUGGGGAUGGACUCGCGGCUUAUCAGCUUGUUGGUGGGGUAGUGGCUUACCAAGGCUUUGACGGGUAGCCGGCCUGAGAGGGUGACCGGCCACAUUGGGACUGAGAUACGGCCCAGACUCCUACGGGAGGCAGCAGUGGGGAAUAUUGCACAAUGGGCGGAAGCCUGAUGCAGCAACGCCGCGUGCGGGAUGACGGCCUUCGGGUUGUAAACCGCUUUCGCCUGUGACGAAGCGUGAGUGACGGUAAUGGGUAAAGAAGCACCGGCUAACUACGUG
rnacentral:rRNA from 1 species